AUGAGUCACCUUUGGUUUGAUCACCAUCGGAUUCUUCAAAAACUCUUGUUUGUGGACAUCUUCCUUGAAUUCCAAGCACUCUGGUAUUUAUCUGAGAGGCCCUGCUGGCUUGACAGCUUCCUAAGGAACCAGGCCCUUUCUUACACAACAGAUGUGCUGAGCCCUGCAUCCUGGAUGGCCUGUAUACCUUCAGUGUCCACCUCAUCAUAGGAGGGGUUGUGUCUCUGCCUCUGUCGGAUAUGAGGGGUCCAGACCAGACUGCUUGUUGCUGUUGCCUUCAGGUUCAUGGUUAUUCAGAUCCAGAAGCACUAAUGUUCUGAUUCCAGUUCUUGAAGGUGACAAGACAGUGAUAACUUUCGACCAAGCCAAUGUCCAUUUCCAUGUUAUCUGAAUGACGGUUUCAUUUAUCAGUCUUUACCAUGCCUCAGAAUCUAAUAUCUCAGUAAGAACAGUUCUUUUUUAGUCCUGUCUGCAUUAGUCCAUGUCUACUGUUGCUGUCACAUUUUGCUUCAGUGUCCAGCACUUUGCAUCACUGAGGAACCUGCAUUGGAUUUGCUGGCGUGUGGUCAUUUCCCACAAGAGUGUGAGUUCAGGAGUCCUAGAAAUUGAAUCCAGUUCCCACCUGUUGGUCUCCCCAUCCUCCCACACUCAAGGGUGAAAGGGGAGCCUCACUGACCCAGAAUAUAUGACUCUUUCAGGACUCAGUGGUCUUUGAAGAUGUGGCUGUGAACUUCACCCUGGAGGAGUGGGCCAUGCUUGACCCUGGUCAGAGGAAACUCUACAGAGAUGUGAUGCUGGAGACAUGCAGGAACCUGGCCUCUGUGGGUGAAGACAGCUUCCUCCCCGCACUAAGUCUUUAGGGAACAGUUAUUUCUUACAAUGUCGUUUCUUACGAGGGGCAGGGAUGGGAAUAUGUUGGAAAAAAGGCAGACAUGGCCCCUGUCAUUAUAGAACCUACCUAUAAUCAGGUUUUGCUUUUCCAUGAAAACAGUUUCAUGCAUUGAUUGACUUUUUGUCACUCUUGAGCAGAAUCUCAAGGUUCCCUAAUUUGGGCAGUGAGAGAAGCAUAAUGGUUUCACCCUAUGAAAGUUAUACUUGUCAAUACACAUUUGACACGUUGAUCUUGCUACAGUUAAACCCACACUGACCCAUUGUCAGUGACAUGAGGACUGUAGAAUCAGCCCAUCUCAUGAACAGCUUGCUGUUCUCCACCCUCCCCAUGAGGAACUUUCUCCACUAGCAGGAUGGCAGCCACACACUAUCCAACAUCCCAAGGGCUGCUGGGUCUGUGGACACAGGCCUCGUCCAGGGCCUUUGUACCUGAGAUCACCAGGGAGCUCACCUCUUGGGAGGAGCAGGUUCUGGAUCAGGCAGCGAUGUUUGGACAUACCCAUUAGGAACAUGACUAGGUCUCUGAGAAGGUGAUGGGUAUAAUUAACCUGGCUUCCCUCUUGGAGUUUUCAUCCAUCCUUGCCCACUCAAGAAGUCUUUUUGUACCUCUCUGUACAAAGGGAGGAUUUGGGAAAGUGUGUUUUGCCCCAUUUCUUCCUACUUUCCUUCUUUGAUAAUAUUGAUCAGAUAUCAGUCUCCAUUCUUUUUGAAAUAUCUGAGUGAACAAAGCUGCCACUUUGACUCAUUUUUCCUGUGAUGGCCAAAAUUCCAAAUAGUCAAGGUCUUUUCUUUGUCCCCAUGUCUAUUUUCCCUUAUAAAAUUUGUUUACAUUUUUGAAUCUGUAUAUGGAAAGUAAUCUACAUAUGGUUUCUUUUCUUUUCUUCAUCCCACUGUUUCUUUCCUGAGAAUUUAGUUACACUACCAAUUGUUACAGGUUCUUGCCUUCAAGUUAAAACUAGAUCAAGUACUCAGUGUGAUAUUGUGAAGAAUGAGCUGUGCAGUGAAGAGAAAAAAGUAAGAAUCACAAGAAAUGAUUUCUGGU
rnacentral:lncRNA from 1 species